rnacentral:rRNA from 1 species
UACGUAGGCAGCAAGCGUUGUUCGGAAUUACUGGGCGUAAAGAGUGUGUAGGCGGUGCUCUAAGUUCGGUGUGAAAUCUCCCGCUUAACUGGGAGGGUGCGCCGAAAACUGGAGUGCUCGAGCGUGGGAGAGGAAAGCGGAAUUCCUGGUGUAGCGGUGAAAUGCGUAGAGAUGGGGGAGAACACUCGUGGCGAAGGCGGCCAGCUAGACCAGUUCUGACACUGAGGCGCGACAGCGUGGGGGAGCAAACAGG